rnacentral:rRNA from 1 species
GAUGAACGCUGGCGGCGUGCCUAAUACAUGCAAGUCGAGCGGAAAGGUUCUGCACUUAGUAUUUGACCUUAGUAAGUCUACGGAUACUACUAAGAAAAGAUAACCUCUAGGCUAGAGGUUAUGUGUCGAAUGUUGAGUGUAGAAUACUCGAGCGGCGGACGGCUGAGUAACACGUAGGAACGUACCCCAAAGUGAGGGAUAAGCACCAGAAAUGGUGUCUAAUACCGCAUGUGCUCCACGGAGUAAAGCUUCGGCGCUUUGGGAACGGCCUGCGCAUGAUUAGCUUGUUGGUGAGGUAAUAGCUCACCAAGGCGACGAUCAUUAGCUGGUCUGAGAGGAUGACCAGCCAGACUGGGACUGAGAACGGCCCAGACUCCUACGGGAGGCAGCAGUAGGGAAUUUUCCACAAUGGGGGCAACCCUGAUGGAGCAACGCCGCGUGCAGGAUGAAGGCUCUCGGGUCGUAAGCUGCUUUUAUAUGUGACGAUUAUGACGGUAGCAUAUGAAUAAGGAUCGGCUAACUCCGUGC